CGAAAGCCUGACGGAGCAACUCCGCGUGAGGGAUGAAGGUCUCUGGACUGUUUACCUCGUUUCUCAAGGAAGAAGAUCUGACGGUACUUGAGGAAUAAGCCACGGCUAAUUCCGUGCCAGCAGCCGCGGUAAUACGGGAGUGGCAAGCGUUAUCCGGAAUCAUUGGGCGUAAAGCGUCCGCAGGCGGCCUUGAAAGUCUGUCGUUCAAGCGUGGAGCUUUACUCCAUUUCAGCGAUGGAAACUACAAGGCUUGAGUGUGGUAGGGGCAGAGGGUAUUCCCGGUGUAGCGGUGAAAUGCGUAGAUAUCGGGAAGAACACCAGUGGCGAAGGCGCUCUGCUGGGCCAUAACUGACGCUCAUGGACGAAAGCCAGGGGAGCG
rnacentral:rRNA from 1 species